GGAAAAUUGAAGGGGAAUUUUAAAAUUAAACAGCAGAACCAAGAGUUUCACAGUAAUCUACUGGAUAUUAAUUGAACACAGAAACAUAGGCUGCCUCCUCUGAGAUAUACUGCUUUGAGAAAGAAGGAGAUUCUUUCAUGGAUGUUACCAAAGCCAAACAAAAUAAUUAUUCUUUCUCUCCAGUACACAGAGGAGAGGCCAUGUGAGGACAUGGCAAGAAGAUGGCCAUCUACAAACCAGGAGGAGACGCAUCACUAGAACCAACUUUGGCAACACCAUGAUCUUGGACUUCUAGCUUCCAGUACUGAGAUGGAUUACAGAAGGAGCAGAUUUAAAAUUCACUGCCUGCUCAUGAAUAAACAUGGUAAAGAGAGCUGUUGAGUUUUGCUGCAAUUGGGAACUAUGGCCACUUGAUGUGAAGAGCUGACUCAUUGGAAA
ensembl:lncRNA